GGAAUGGGGGCACUUCCUGUUUUACUCCACUGAGACGGCUGUUGUCAGUUUCAACAAAAUGGCUGCUGGAGCGCCACAAGCGAAAACCCAGUGAACGCUACACGUCAGUGCAGUAUCACUUUAAAUGGAUGCACUGGAAUUUCCCUACCUUCUGAGCGUCGGGACAUUUACUCGCGUGGACUCGUUAACGUGCGUAUUAGCGAACUAAAGGCAUGCUGAGAUAUUCCCUUUACGCACUUUAUAUACAUCCAAAAGCUCAAACUGCCAGUGCGCGCGCGUCUGUGUGGGUGGGUGUGCGCGUGUAGCUGCUCCUAAGGGUCGCGGAAAUGAACAGCUGAUCAACCUUAAGCUUUCUUGCUGACAUGCAAAACUGUGGUUUAAUGUCCUUUUCACUGUUUGCACUGGCGUUUUAGAGCCCCCCUCCCUCCCUCCCUCCCCCCGGAUAAAUUCCGCUGCAGAUUGAGAGGUGAAUUCCUCAACUGGAAAGUCGGGCUCGCCAUUGCAGCUCAGUGUCUGACUGCGGCUGAAUAAUACCUGGUCUGUGUCAGUAACGUUACGGGUAUCGACGACAACAUCGACUUCACCAUGCAGCUCAUUUGAACAGCAGACCGCAGUUGCGCCGUGUGCGAAAUAAAGCCUUGGCACAAAACACGUCACACAAGAGGAGAACCAUUUGAUGGAAGAAAAGAAAAAGAAAACGCAAGAGGAAAAGAAAAAGAAGGAAGCUGCUCAGAAAAAGGCUGCUGAACAGAAAACCAAAGUGCCAGACUCUGCCAAGCCCAGCCCCACCCCUCCUCCCCCCACCAACCCCAGCACCGCCACCAACCCGUCUGUGCCCUCAGCCAGCAGCAGCACUGGUGGCAAUGGCAAGCGCGCACCCUCCGGCAACCAACAGCAGCAGCCGGCAGCCCCUCGCUACCCGCCCCGAGAGGUGCCCCCUCGUUUCCGUCAACACGAACACAAGCAGCUACUGAAGCGGGGCCAACCUCUGCCCGCCGGAAGUACAGCUCUUGUGCAGCCAGUGUCCGCCAACCCUGCGUCUCAGCCCUUCUUCUGCCAGACCCACCCAGGUCAGCCUCGCCUCCAUGAUGUACACAGGGCGGCCUGCUGAGUCAGGGUGCAGCCAAGAAAACACUUAACGCCUAUAGUUGGUGGUCUGUUUUGUGGUUUUGUUAUGUAAUAUUGCAGGAAGGUAGAAGAGCUGGUUGUGGCAGGGGGUGUUUGGAUGGUUUGUACAGACUAUCAGCCCAUUCUCAUGUGGUACAAUAAUGUAAAGCUGCUUUCUUUUGUUCUAUCUUUUGUUUGCUGGGGUUGGCAACCAUCUGCACGGUUGAUAAGAGCAAGAGAGAUUAAUAUUCAAGUCACUAUUAAAUAUUGCAGUAUUUAUUAUUGAUUUAUUUGUGCACAUCUUUUUUUUUUUUUUUGCUCUCCCCCUUGCAAUGGCAUCUCUGCAGAAGAGCUGGGCAAUAAGGUUGUCCAGUAGAUGAAUUCCCCUAAAGCAGCCUGUCAGUCACAUGAAACGAUUACAACAAAUGGCAGCAAUGUCAAUUUCUGAUGUUAAAUUUCAAACCAAGUGCCACUUUUUUUUCCUUGUGUAAAGGGAUAGUUCACCCAAAAAUGUGUGUCUGUCAUUACUUACUCACCCUCAUUUCGUUCUAAACCCGUAAGACCUUCGUUCAUCUUCAGAACACAAAUUAAGAUAUUUUUGAUGGAAUCCGAGAGCCUCUGACCCUCCAUAGACAGCUAGGAUAUUACCACAAUCAACGCACAGAAACGUAGCAAGGACAUCAGUAAUGUGACAUCGGGGGUUCAACUGUAAUUUUACGAAGCUACGAGAAUACUUUUUGUGCAUAAAGAAAACAAUAAUAACAGCAAAUAGCAAUUCUUCUCCCCGAGUUACCGUCUUCCGCCAUUUUGGAGAGUAUCCCAGGAUGUAAUAAAUGUAAUGAGCGCUGUUUACA
rnacentral:lncRNA from 1 species